rnacentral:lncRNA from 1 species
AUAUAUUUGGCAUUUUCAUCAUAAGCUUUCAUCUUCUAAUGAACUCCGUUGUUAUGAUGAAGUCCUUAGGACUAUUUAGGUUCGAUAAAGAGAGGAUUUAUCGAUUAGUCCUUAAAACUGUUCACGACCAAAUGAUAGGCUCUUAAUAAGGAUGACAGCUUCUAUCGAGCAUAGGUCGCUGUAGGCCAUAUGGGUUGGUUGUCCUCUUAACCAAAGAGUGUGGAGACACUGGUAUGGCAUACAGGUG